rnacentral:rRNA from 1 species
UACGAAGGGGGCUAGCGUUGUUCGGAAUUACUGGGCGUAAAGGGCGUGUAGGCGGCCCGUUAAGACAGGUGUGAAAUUCCUGGGCUCAACCCAGGACGUGCGCCUGUGACUGGCGGGCUUGAGUCCGGGAGAGGAUGGUGGAACUCCCAGUGUAGAGGUGAAAUUCGUAGAUAUUCGCAAGAACACCAGUGGCGAAGGCGGCUCACUGGCCCGAUACUGACGCUGAGGUGCGAAAGCGUGGGGAGCAAACAGG